CGUCCCCUGCGGUGCAGGUGACCGUUCCCGAACCGUUCCCGAAAUCCUCUGAACCUAUAAGCUCAGUCUCGGGGACCGACCGUCGGUGCUGGUGUGCAAGCCCGCCUCGUAGCGGGAAGCCUGAAGGCACCAUGAAGGUCCCCACUUGAACCACACGGUUCAAGGCCACGGGAGCGGCACGGCAUUCGCGGAGGGCGC
rfam:Thiotrichales bacterium SG8_50 WOR_8-12_65619, whole genome shotgun sequence.